GGGCUUGUACUGGUUUCGACGGGGGUUUUGAAGUUGCGGAAGCCAUUCGUGGGCCGGGACCACGUAAAAACCUGGACUUAAAAUUAAACGCAGACGAUAAUUUAGCGUUAGCUGCUUAAUUGCAGCUUGUCGGCCUUAAGCCACCCGCUGCUUAAGAAUCCGGCAUCAUCCUUGCGGGGCACUUUGUUCCCAAAGCUUUGAGGGAAUAAAAGAUUCAUGAAGCUACCAAAACCGGAAGAUUGUCUGUCAUCGUCCGGCAGAGGGAACAGCGGAGGCAAACCUGGUUUUGCAGAUCGCACAAAUGACCGACUGUAAUGGGAGAUGCUGCGAUGGAUGGGCUUUCGGACAGGGGUUCGACUCCCCUCAGGUCCAU
rnacentral:tmRNA from 1 species